AAAUAAGAAGUAAAAUUUUACAUAUUAAUUUCGACUUAAUAAUAAGAUAAUAAAAUAUCCUUAUUUU
rnacentral:tRNA from 1 species